rnacentral:piRNA from 1 species
GACCGAGCUGCACUUUUGCUACCUGUGUGC